GACAGAGGUUUCUGCGUGUGCUGUAUCGCGGGGCGCCUCCCCGGGCGUCCUCCGGGGGCGACCCGGGUCACGGGGGAGGUGCGGCGGCAGAGGAAGCGCUCCUGAUGGAGGGGUUUCUGUUUAAGAGGACCAGGAGUGUGUUUAAAACCUGGAACAGCCUGCCGCCAUCUGAUUGAACAAUGCCUCAAGAAGAAGCCCAGCAAGCGUCUCACCCUCGGGCAGAUCCUCCUGCACGGGUGGUUUGAUGAGUAAGCCGAAGACUAGGUUCAGAUGAUGUAGAUCUUUAACCGUAGAGGUUUCUGAAGGCUUCUGCUAACGGUAAAAAUGAUCAAACCUUUUAAGAUUUGAGCUUUUUUCCAGGAAUAAGAAGGUUCGAGAGCUCUGGCAGGUCUUUCUGGGUGAGUAGGAGAUGAUGAAGGUUUGAUAUCUAUGCAAGGUUUAAGUCUCUAUUCACAGGGCCUCACAGAACCUUACCGGACCUCCAGGACGUCACGAUAGCUUAAUGGUAGAACUCUAUAAACUAACAUCUCCAACCUUUCAGGGCUGGAUCGUGUCUAACUGCAUUUCUUGCUUGUUUUCUCGACGCAGGUCAACGAGCAUCUUGAUCCGGAAGACGAGGAGAUUAUUCUUACAGUUACCAGCAGCUUCUUUGUUUAUUAAAUAAAUAAAUUGUUCAAUAAAGACGUGAACUGUA